UUUCUGACCUAACACUGCAGGAUGGGCCCGCGGCGCAUUACCUAGUUGGUAAGGUAAGGGCUUACCAAGGCAACAAUGCGUACCCAACCUGAAAGGGUGAUCGGCCACACUGGAACUGAAACACGGCCCAAACUCCUACGGAAGGCAGCAGUAGGGAAUCUUCCGCAAUGGACAAAAGUCUGACGGAGCACCGCCGCGGGAGUGACAAAGGCCUUCGGGUCGUAAAGUUCUGUUGUUAGGGAAAAACAAGUACCGUUCGAAUAGGGCGGUACCUUGACGGUACCUAACCAAAAAGCCACGGCUAACUACGUGCCACCAGCCGCGGUAAUACGUAGGUGGCAAGCGUUGUCCGGAAUUAUUGGGCGUAAAGCGCGCGCAGGCGGUCUUUUAAGUCUGAUGUGAAAGCCCACGGCUCACCCGUGAAGGGUCAUUGAAAACUGAAGGACUUGAGUGCAGAGAGGAGAGUGAAAUUCCACGUGUAGCGUGAAAUGCGUAGAUAUGUGAAGGACCACCAGUGCCGAAGGCGGCUCUCUGGUCUGUAACUGACGCUGAGGCGCGAAAGCGUGGGGAGCAAACAGGAUUAGAUACCC
rnacentral:rRNA from 2 species